rnacentral:rRNA from 1 species
UGCCAGCCGCCGCGGUAAUACUGAAGGCCCGAGCGUUAUUCGGAAUCACUGGGCUUAAAGCGUACGCAGGCGGAUUUGUAGGUAUCUUGUGAAAUCCCACGGCUCAACCGUGGAACUGCAGGGUAAACCACAAAUCUUGAGACAAGUAGGGGUUAGUGGAACGAUAUGUGGAGCGGUGAAAUGCGUAGAUAUAUAUCGGAACGCCAAUGGCGAAGGCAGCUAACUGGGCUUGUUCUGACGCUCAGGUACGAAAGCGUGGGUAGCGAACGGGAUUAGAUA